UACGUAGGGUGCGAGCGUUGUCCGGAAUUAUUGGGCGUAAAGGGCUCGUAGGCGGUCUGUUGCGUCGGGAGUGAAAACUCAGGGCUUAACCCUGAGCCUGCUUCCGAUACGGGCAGACUAGAGGUAUGCAGGGGAGAACGGAAUUCCUUGUGUAGCGGUGAAAUGCGCAGAUAUCAGGAGGAACACCGGUGGCGAAGGCGGUUCUCUGGGCAUUACCUGACGCUGAGGAGCGAAAGUGUGGGGAGCGAACAGG
rnacentral:rRNA from 1 species